CAUUAACGCCUGGGCUUUCGGCUACCUGAGCUGAGCCGGCCGGCUCUGCCUUGGCUGUCGGGGAGGUUUCUCAGAGGAGUCUGGCCAUGGUCCUGGCAGAAGGUACGGCCACACGAGGAAGUUAACACGAGGUAAAACAGGGUGUGAAUUUGAGGCCCAGCAACUGCUCCUCGGCAAUUAAUUGCACAUUCGCCCUGUGGUGAACGCAGAGCUCCAGGAUGCGCUGCAGACCCGCGCCCUGGCGGUGUGCACAUGCGGGGGGCUUGCACAAGGAAUUACCCCGAAAUCUUUCCAGCUGAAAAAUGCCAUGCCGAGAGCUCUGCUGGUAAAUUCCCUCUGCUCGCACGGCUGCAGAGGCUGGGGCUGAAGGAGGUUUUAAUGCACUUAUCUUGCACAGAGCACUUGAAGCAUCUCCUCCAUGCGAGAGGGGGAAGAAUAGAGAGGAAUGCAUGAGGGCAGAGGAGCGCGGCGCGGAGCCUGCUGAGUGUCGGAGGUGGACGGCAGCGAGGCUCUCUGCGAGCAGCCUUUCUCCAGCUGGGUUCCUCUUUUGCAAUUCCAGCGUCUUGUUUCUCGACGAUCCUCCUCUCCUGCGUCCGGCCCCGGGUCCUGCUGCCCCCUCGCCCGGUGCCUGGCCACGGUACCCGCAGCACACCGCAUGGCUGCNNNNNNNNNNNNNNNNNNNNAGGGCUGGGGGAAAUCCCAGGGUUUUGAAGCAUCGCCACGCGCAGGCGGUGGCGGUGAUGGCACUUUAAUCGGUGAGGAGGAAGGUUUUGAAGUCUGUAACUCCCACCAGUAUUGUGGAAAUCCUCCCGAGAUUUACCACCAAAGCCCCAUGGGAAGAGGGUUGGUGCUGGGGCUGGGCUGGGCGCCCACCACCCUGACAGCCCCUGCAAGGGGUUUUUCACCUGAUCUCUUUGCGAGGGGGUUAACACACUUCAAAAAAGGGGACUUUUGGCCCCAGCCCUCACCAAAGCACGGCCUGUGUGGGUGAGAAUACCCUGGCACAGGCCCUUAUCCCAUUGCUGCGAUCCGAAGCUCUUGGGGAGGGCACAGCAACCUUUCUGCAAGCUCAGA
rnacentral:lncRNA from 1 species